CUCUGGAAUAAAGAUUCAAAGACAGACAAAAACAAUUAGAACGGCCACGAGGAUCGGCAUCUGUGACGGCAAGAGGGACUCAUUCUAGCACAAGGGUUUAGGUGACAGUUGAUGCUUGAGCCCAACCGGUGGCCAAGGCCCGGGCUGAGCAGACGGACUCAGGAGGGGCCCGUUCCUCCCUGGGAGGCCCCCACAGCUUGUGAACCCCCUUGUAGAGAAGUAAUUUUAGAUACACCCCCGUCCUGCCAUCACAGUGCUCUCAAGCCAAGGGACACACAUCCGGCCGUUCCAGAAACGAACAGCUCUCAUGCUCUCCCUUGUCUGUCAGUUUGAGGGCCCCGCCAUGAAAUCCUUUGGUCUGACCUUGCCUCGAACAGGGGAGAAGAGGUCAGAAGAGGAGUCCAGACCAGAGUGACCUGGAGGGUGGCCGGCCAGUCUGCCGCCCGCACACCCUGUACCCAGCAUACACAGAUGUCCAGCAGCCUGGGGAGCAGAGGUCCAGGAGGAACGUGAGGCAGUGCGUCAGAUUCCCAUCAUCCCGCUGGCCCAAGGAUUCCAGGGGUACCACAGAAUGUCCCUCCAGUUCAGCCUCCCGCCUAAGCCUGGAAGCAGUGGGAAGGGUUCUAGCCGUAAGAAACCCAUCUUGACCCUUAAGUAGAUCUCCUUAACCUUUCAAGAGGAUGUUGAGAACCACACUGAUGGAGUGCUAAACCGGAAAUCAGAUUUUACUUUUUUUCUAUUUAUUUGUUUUCUAUGUUCCUUGAGAGCAAAGAUUGCACUGGUCUCAUCCAGGGCUUCAUCCCCAGUGCAUGAAGACAGCCCGCACACAGUAGGCAUCCAGUUAAUCUGACCUUGUUAAAUAAUUGGGAGCAGAUUCUAAACCAGAUUUACCAUCUUCCCAGGCAUCCUCUGGGCAAGUCUCUUGUCCUUCUUAAGGCUCCUCCUGCCUUUGCCUGGGGGUUUGGGGGGGGAAUGAGCCCUACCUCUUCAUGCCAUCCUCAGAAAGUGAUCAAGGACAGCAAAUGAGAGCUAGAACUAGUGCUGGAAGGCUUAGAUGAAAGAUGCCCAGCGUCCGGCAUGUCUGCUCUCAAGUGCUGGGAGAAGGCUUACUUUGAUCCUAAUGAACUUCUGGAAUCUAGCCCUUUAAGCAGAAGGCCAAUAAGCUCCUUGCGCCCCUCCAUCUUUCCUUGCCGGAGGGAACUCCCAACCCUCAAAAAGAAUGGAAAAUUCCAAGCAGCUUCAUCAGCAAUAACCAUUAGCUAGGGUAUAACCACUGGCAAUACCACUAGGCCAGGCAGCCUAGAUUUCUAGAAAGGGCCAAGUCUGAGUCAGAAUUCCUUACUUUGACCCUCUCAAAGAGGGUCAAAGAGGAGACAUUUUUCACUCACUUGGGCAACCAGUGAGAAGAGGACACUUCAGACACGAACAUAUGGGGCGUGUGGUUUGUGGGAACAAGGUUUGUUGCUUCAGGUUAGCUCUAGAAACACUCACAGAGGAAGGGCAAGCACUAGAGUCAAGGCAGGCGGUGUCAGCUGGGGCCCUGGUUUAAGGUGGGAUCUCUAGGAAAGUUCUUCUGGAAUUUGGAGGCGUUGCGGGGACCCAUGCUUCUCUCUGAGCUCUUAGAAUGUGAGCUCUCUGCAACUGCCGAGCCUGCCUGGCCCCUGUCCUUAUUAGGCAACUGGCAAAGAAUCAUAUGUAAGCGCUCACACCGCCUCAGCCUUGGCCUCAGCCUCAGACUCAACGCUCAGACGCCUGGGAGGUACCACCUCUCAUCAGGUCAGGAUUAGUCAUUUAGCUUGGGGCAUUCUGGGUAAGGUAUGUUCUCACUCCCGGUUUCUAACAUUGUGCCUGCUUAAAGGUUGAUAGCAUGGGAGAGCAAACCCUCUCCCAUUGCCUCCUUCAGGGGCAAGUGAUCAUAUUCCUUUACAUGAUCACUGAAUCAUCUCAAUGUCUGUCUUCCUAAAGUCCUAUAACAUCUGCUCUACAAUUGGGAUGACCUGUGAAAGUGCGGUCAUGUAUCAGUUCUAGGGAGGACAGCUAGGAGCUCCCCCCUCCCGCCACUCCCUUACAGAUGAGGACACUGAAGUCCAAAAAAAUAAAUAAGUGAUUUAGUCUUUGGCAAGUCAGCAUCCUUGGCUGCCUGGCGCUCUUUUUGUGACACCUUACUCCUUCCCUCCUC